ACUGGCAGUAGAAUGUGAGCACGUUCGUCUGAUUUCCUCGUAUAAACAGGACAGGGCAGUGAAGUCCAAAGCUCAGUGUAUCCAGCCAAGCCAUAUAGAGAGAACUGGGACAAUCGCUUUGAGGGACAGAUCAUCAAACUGACAUUUUUUGUGAAAGAACCCACAAAGUCAACAAGAGCCGGACGCAAGUUUGGAGGACCAGUCAAAACCAAACACUGAGGUCUAAAGGGGAAACGAAAGUAGCAAGAGAGGCUGAGUAGGACAGAGCCAUGUUGUAGGCACCAGCCUGGACAGACGAGCCCCAGUUAACCUCUAGAAGAAAUAUGUGACUAUUACAUGUCUAUCUCUUUAAUGUGUUUUUAAGUUAUUAAGAAUAUUGCAUUGAUUUAGACCUUAUUAGGACUGUCAUAAGUUGCUCACUUGGUUUCUUGUACAUAACAUAACCUAAUAAAAAGAAGAUGAUGCCGAAGGUGAUAAGAGCAGCCCACCAGGUAAGCAGGAACAUCAGCACCACAGAGAUAACUGCUCCAAACAGAGCUGUCCAGAGACUGUAAUAUUUAAAAGAUGGCCUCCACCCUGUGAGUGAGAAUAUCAAUAGUUUUGUAGUGAGACAUUGCAUAACAAAACACAAAGAAAUACA